GACGAACGCUGGCGGCGUGCCUAAUACAUGCAAGUAGAACGCUGAAGAGAGGAGCUUGCUCUUCUUGGAUGAGUUGCGAACGGGUGAGUAACGCGUAGGUAACCUGCCUUGUAGCGGGGGAUAACUAUUGGAAACGAUAGCUAAUACCGCAUAACAAUGGAUGACACAUGUCAUUUAUUUGAAAGGGGCAAUUGCUCCACUACAAGAUGGACCUGCGUUGUAUUAGCUAGUAGGUGAGGUAAUGGCUCACCUAGGCGACGAUACAUAGCCGACCUGAGAGGGUGAUCGGCCACACUGGGACUGAGACACGGCCCAGACUCCUACGGGAGGCAGCAGUAGGGAAUCUUCGGCAAUGGGGGCAACCCUGACCGAGCAACGCCGCGUGAGUGAAGAAGGUUUUCGGAUCGUAAAGCUCUGUUGUAAGUCAAGAACGGGUGUGAGAGUGGAAAGUUCACACUGUGACGGUAGCUUACCAGAAAGGGACGGCUAACUACGUGCCAGCAGCCGCGGUAAUACGUAGGUCCCGAGCGUUGUCCGGAUUUAUUGGGCGUAAAGCGAGCGCAGGCGGUUUGAUAAGUCUGAAGUUAAAGGCUGUGGCUCAACCAUAGUUCGCUUUGGAAACUGUCAAACUUGAGUGCAGAAGGGGAGAGUGGAAUUCCAUGUGUAGCGGUGAAAUGCGUAGAUAUAUGGAGGAACACCGGUGGCGAAAGCGGCUCUCUGGUCUGUAACUGACGCUGAGGCUCGAAAGCGUGGGGAGCGAACAGGAUUAGAUACCCUGGUAGUCCACGCCGUAAACGAUGAGUGAUAGGUGUUGGAUCCUUUCCGGGAUUCAGUGCCGCAGCUAACGCAAUAAGCACUCCGCCUGGGGAGUACGACCGCAAAGGUUGAAACUCAAAGGAAAUGACGGGGGGCCGCACAAGCGGUGGAGCAUGUGGUUUAAUUUGAAGCAACGCGAAGAACCUUACCAGGUCUUGACAUCCCGAUGCUAUUUCUAGAGAUAGAAAGUUACUUCGGUACAUCGGUGACAGGUGGUGCAUGGUUGUCGUCAGCUCGUGUCGUGAGAUGUUGGGUUAAGUCCCGCAACGAGCGCAACCCCUAUUGUUAGUUGCCAUCAUUCAGUUGGGCACUCUAGCGAGACUGCCGGUAAUAAACCGGAGGAAGGUGGGGAGGACGUCAAAUCAUCAUGCCCCUUAUGACCUGGGCUACACACGUGCUACAAUGGUUGGUACGACGAGUUGCGAGUCGGUGACGGCGAGCUAAUCUCUUAAAGCCAAUCUCAGUUCGGAUUGUAGGCUGCAACUCGCCUACACGAAGUCGGAAUCGCUAGUAAUCGCGGAUCAGCACGCCGCGGUGA
rnacentral:rRNA from 1 species